GUCUAGACAUGCAUCUGACAGUGUUUGCAUUAAGGACAAGGAGCAAUGGGGUAGUAGUUGGAGACAGAUGGGAGAGUCUAGAUCCAGGUAAAUGUAUCGAUAAAUCAGUCUCCCCACACUAGGUUGUAAACUCCAAGUUGGCAGGCACUCCUGGAUUCUGGAAUAGUCCCGGGCACAUUUAAUAAAAGAAUAAAAAUGAUGCAACAGCCAUACCAACCACAUGGUGGAACAGCAGAAGUCAGGAUUUGCACCUUGCACUGAUCCUUAAGAGACCAACCGAGGAGACUGAAGGGGGCGAGGCCUGGGCAGGAGCGUGGGCUCUGGAGGCACACCCCGGCUCUGGCUUGCUUUCUUGGUCUCUAAAUUAUGACUGGAAAACCAGUCAGGUGGCAAGGCUCAGAAAGCACUGUGAGGCUUCUUGUCCCUGGUCACCAGGCAUCGACAGAGCCCUCUGCUCUCACCUGCCCACCAGUGGCUGAAGCAUUACCAGGUCUGAGCACCUGAGGUCGCCUCGGGUCCCAGCUUCCUGCCAUAUCCUCUGGCAAGUACUGGGGCCCAGCAGGCCAGAAGGACAACUCCCAGAACUAUGGAAAUGGCCGUGGGGGAGGAACAGAGAGCACUGGAAGCAACCUCCAGCAAGACCUGAAGGAGGAGUCCAUCCAGGUCUUGUCCUACUUCUAGGGAUGUAGAAGUCCAUGCGGGCAUCAUCCCUGGUGUGCAGGUGGGGACACGGACAGGCCUUGAGAGACACAAGGACUCAUCCAGGAUGGAGAACAGGCACUUGUUCACAGGGCUCCUCAUGGGACUGCAGACAGGAGCCAGUCCACAGAGCACCCUGCUCCAUCUCCCUGCACGAGGGGCUGGAGCCCCACACGAGCAACAGAGCCCAGGGCGGGCACAGGGUGAGUGCUAGCCAGGAGGCGAUCCUACACCCAGGAAGUUCCAGGUCCCAGAGCCACCCUGGCCC
rnacentral:lncRNA from 1 species